CAGAAAACCUUUUGCACAGUGGAUCUGAAAAUACAGUGCUGGACUCUGCACCUAUAUGGGAGCUUGAGAUUACGGCUAAGUGAACUUUUAUUGAGGAAUUUGACAAUCUACUCUAUUUUAAACUGGAAGGUCUGAAUGCCUUGAGCACCAGGAAAGAAGCCAGAAGUUCCAAAAUGUUUAUAUGAAGCCUUAAAAAACAAAAAACAAAAACCACCCUUCCCAUCCAUUUCCCACUCACUUGAUGGACUUGGCAAUGUGCUCUACAGCCUCUUUGCGAGGCAUCUGAGGUCAUGACAAUUUCCAGAAACCUGGGUUGAAAAGAUCCUUCAUAGAAAAACUCUCAAGAACUGGAGCUGUCACUUCCCAAUGCUGCUGUGGCAGCAGUUGGAAAGGAACCAAGUCCAAUCAUGCUCUAACCACCACACCUAAUGGAUGUGCACAAGCAUGGUGUGGAGCAAGAGCAUCAUGUGAAGCUUUGAAAGUCUUCUGAAGGCGGCUUCUGCACAUGUCAAUACAACCGGGAUCAUGUUAAGAAUCAAAUAUUUCAAUGGAAGUUGGAAAAUACAGGUCAGAGAGCUUGGCCAUUAGGAUCACCUUCUACAACAGGGUUGCCAAAUUUUAGAAGGAAUGAAACUCCUAUAUGCCUUUAAUGAUUACUUAGAAAAGAGAAGUGGCAAUGUUUCUGUUAUAGUCAGGAAGGAGCAAAGAGACAGUUUUUAAAAGUGGCGAUUCUCUUAUAUUUAGCAGGGGGAGAGCAACUGGCCUUUUCCAACCCCAGCACAGCAUCCCUCCAGUGGCUGUCACUGGUAUCUUUCUUGUGUUUCUUUUUAGACAGUGAUCCCUUUGGGGACAGGGGCCCAUCUUCUUGAUGCAUUGUUUAUUUUUCUAUGUAAACCGCUUUGAGUACUUUGGUGGAAGAGCGGUAUAUAAAUAUUCAUAGUAGUAGCAGUAGGCUAGUGUACACUCUGCACUACCCUCACUCUACCCCCAAAUUCAAAGCCAAGAUAUACCAAAUCCUGUUCCAAUAAAAGUUGGAUUCUGCAGUCUGCAUAAAGCAAAUGUGCAGAUUUUUGCUUUUGCACAACGGAUCCUGCUUCUGUAGUCCUGAGCAGGAACAAAAACAGAGCAAGGGCACUGAGUAGCUCCACCCCCCACCACCCACCUUCAGGUCACUGGAAAACGUGUUCAACUCUUCCUCUGGCACUGCCAGAGGAAUUUCACUAGUCAUGACCCACACACUUCCAGGCCGCUCUGCAAAGUCCAGGGCGUGCCCUUGAAACCCUGAGCAGGGCAACCCUCAGCCCACGAUCAGUAAAGAGAACACACAGCAAAAGAUGCCCAUCGUGCUGGGCAUGCCCACUGCAUGUGGCGGGCUUCUCCUGUGGCUACUAGAUGCCAAAUGGUGGUUCUGUGAGCAAGCUGUGAGCAAGAGUGAACCCUUAGAAGUGAAGGGCCACUGCAGGACAUGGAUGCACUUGUGCCUCUCUCAUACCAUCCCAGCCAUCUUGCUUGGCUCCCGGUCCGUCCUACUUACGGUGCACUUGUGGGGCUUCUCUCCUGUGUGGCGUCUCAUGUGGACAACCAGCAUGUACUGCGCCUUGAAGGGCCGUUGCUCCCGUGAGCAGUCGUGCCAGUGGCAAACAAACUCCUUCUUUUCCCCAUGGAUGUGUUCAUUGUUAAUGUGCUGCAUUGUCAAGUGAGAGAAGCAACAAAGAGACAGGAAGUCAGUGGAAGCAGCCAUUUGCGGGUGAGUUCCCCAGAUACUUUAACAGAAGAGUUCAUACAUAAGAGGGGAAACAUUUGUUCACCCUAUCCACUAAUGGCAAGACCAGAUACGAUGGGGUUACGUCAUGGUUAGCAACCGAUUAAAGGCUAUCUAUUUAUUAAAAUAACUGUUUGGCUUUUAAAUUACUACAUUUAAAAUCCAUUUAAAUUGUGUGAGAGGUUGUGUGGUGUAGCAGUUAGUGCUGGAUUUGGACAAAGGUGGUCUGGGUUCAAAUCCCUAUUUGUCCUUAAAGUUCCUUGGGUGGGUAAGUCACCAGCCCCACUGCCUAGCCCAUUUCGCAGAGAUGUUGUGUAGAGAAAAUAAGGUGAUUCUACAUACACUUUCAAGGAACU